rnacentral:lncRNA from 1 species
CUUAAAUGCUUACUCAGGAAGAAUUUUAAUUGAAGCCAACUGAACAAAACCUUAUUGAGUUCUUACUCAGGCAAAAUAGGCAAAACAACUACCGACCUCCAGCAGAUCCAUGCUGAGGACAAAGUAAAGCAGACUGAGAGCAUUUCUGUACUGCACAAUGCUUUUUAAAGCUAUUUCAGGAUGUGAAUGCAGGACAAGCCGACUCUGACAGAAAAUCCCAUCAGGGUGUGUCUGUCGACUAUGAUAAGAAUGUGGCUAUUGUUACAUCAAACAAUGGCCAGCAAUCAUGGGUCUCUGUUUUGGACUACAAGACUGGCUUUUUGGCAACCAGGAUAUUUUCCAAGAAAACCUGCAUCCUUGUUAAAAUGAACAAAGACAAGAUGCCUGGUAUUGAGGCUCUUCCCAAAGCCCUUGAUGAGAUGAAGAAACCUGAAGGUCAAAGGCCUCCUCCAAAUGAGUUGAGAUACACUGUCUCAGAAAAGAAAAUCCAGGACAUCACCCAAUAUGGAGAAGACAUUGCUGCUCUGUGCCAUGGCUUGCCUGCUUAUGAGGCUCAUAUGAUGCAGGGAGCAAACUUUUUCUAUUUAGGAGGAUGUCUGAAUCUGAACAUCCUGUACAUCCUACGUAUGGACUUAUGUCUUGGUGUUUAAAAAUAAGUUUUGGGCUGCCCUGAACCAGUCUUCCAAUUUCCCCUGUGACUGGACAACACCAUUUAUCUUAGUGACAUUCCAUCUUCUGAAUAUUUGACUCUGUCUUCCCUUUAUGAUUUCUAUGUCGAAGAAACUUAGACUGAGAAACUAACUUUCAAUUAAACACAUUUAGUGUUCAUGUCAUAU